rnacentral:misc_RNA from 1 species
UGGCUCUCGCAUCGAUGAAGAACGCAGCGAAAUGCGAUACGUAAUGUGAAUUGCAGAUCUUCCCUGAAUCAUCGAAUUUUUGAACGCACCUUGCGCCCCUUGGUUAUUCCGAUGGGCAUGCUUGUUUGAGUGUCGCGAACCUCUCAACCCCGCCUUUUUAUUUUGAAAAGGUUGCUUGGGCUUGGAUCAUGGUCUUUUGCAGAGUUUUUAACUCGGCUAGACUGAAAUACAACAAGUUGUAUGGAACAGUACUGCGGCUUGAACCCGAUGUUGUAAGUCAAACAUCUCGUCGGGGACGCACAUGCUAUAAUCGAGUCCAAUGAACUUAUACAAACCUGACUUUUGACGAGUCAAAGCGCAAUCAGACCUCAAAUCAAGUAGGACUACCCGCUGA